GGACCCGCACAAGUAGUGGAGCAUGUGGUUUAAUUCGAAGAUACGCGCAGAACCUUACCAACACUUGACAUGUUCGUCGCGACUUUAAGAGAUUAAAGUUUUCGGUUCGGCCGGACGAAACACAGGUGCUGCAUGGCUGUCGUCAGCUCGUGUCGUGAGAUGUUGGGUUAAGUCCCGCAACGAGCGCAACCCUCACUUUUAGUUGCCAUCAUUAAGUUGGGCACUCUGAAAGAACUGCCAGUGAUAAGCUGGAGGAAGGUGGGGAUGACGUCAAGUCCUCAUGGCCCUUACGUGUUGGGCUACACACGUGCUACAAUGGUAUCUACAACAGGAAGCAAAACGGCGACGUUAAAGCAAAAUCCUUAAAAUAUAACCUCAGUUCGGAUUGCACUCUGCAACUCGAGUGCAUGAAGCUGGGAAUUACUAGUAAUCGU
rnacentral:rRNA from 1 species